CCUACGGGAGGCAGCAGUGAGGAAUAUUGGUCAAUGGACGAGAGUCUGAACCAGUCAAGUAGCGUGAAGGAUGACUGCCCUAUGGGUUGUAAACUUCUUUUAUAUGGGAAUAAAAUGUUCCACGUGUGUCAUUUUGCAUGUACCUUAUGAAUAAGGAUCGGCUAACUCCGUGCCAGCAGCCGCGGUAAUACGGAGGGUGCGAGCGUUAAUCGGAGUUACUGGGCGUAAAGCGCGCGUAGGUGGUAUGUUAAGUCAAGUGUGAAAUUCCCGGGCUCAACGUGGGAACUGCCUUUGAAACUGGCAAACUGGAGUGUGGUAGAGGAUAGUGGAAUUCCAGGUGUAGGAGUGAAAUCCGUAGAUAUCUGGAGGAACAUCAGUGGCGAAGGCGACUAUCUGGCACAUAACUGACGCUGAGGAGCGAAAGCGUGGGUAGCAAACAGGAUUAGAUACCCGUGUAGUC
rnacentral:rRNA from 1 species